ensembl:lncRNA LINC02891 long intergenic non-protein coding RNA 2891
AUAAUUCAGCGGCAACGCAGCUGGGGCCUGGCACACAGGGUCCCUGUGAUGAGGAGGGGCUGCCCCUGCCGGAAUGCACCAGAGGCUGCCACCAGGGAGAGAGUUACAAGGACCACUUCCGUGGACCUGGCAGGUCCUAGGGCCCCCUUUAAAAUUGUGCCUGGGGAGAGUCCCUGGCGCUGCUCCGGAGGAUCAUGGAGCCCGACUCUACUCACAGGGGAGACCACACAGCUUCUGCGGGGCAAGACAGCUGAGGAGCAUGUCAGGACAGUGCCAUCUGCCACCAAGGCAGCUCCAGAGAGUGGGACAGCUGUGAGAGGCGGGACCUGUCCAGGCUCCCUGAUGGGCACUCACAGCCCCCUUCACCCUCAGCGAGGCACUUGCCCCAAUGAAAACUGAGCAGUUGGACAAUCUGAUGUCUUGGAGGGUCCAGAGUCUCACUCUGUUGCCCAGGCUGGAGUGCGAUGGCAUGAUCUCGGCUCCCUGCAAUCUCCACCUCCCAGGUUCAAGCAAUUCUCCUACCUCAGCCUCCUGAGUAGCUGGGAUCACAGGCACACACCACCAUGCCCGGCUAAUUUUUGUAUUUUUAGUAGAGACGGGGUUUCACCAUGUUGGCCAGGCUGGUCUCCAACUCCUGACCUCAAGUGAUCAGCCUGCCUCGGGCUCCUAAAGUGCUGGGAUUACAGGCGUGAGCCACCGCGCCCGGCCAUAGGGCAUCCUCUUAAUUAGAGUGUGAGGCCUGCGGAUAUGGGCUGGGGAAUAAGUUGAUGCUGACAGAAAAUAACUUAAACCAUUGAAAGGAACAGGAAGUAAACAGAAGCAAAUAUUUACCGAAUCCCUGGUGAGAAGGAACUUUCCAAGAAUAAAGGGAAGGAUGAGUUCACUUUGACUGUGUGGAAGCUAAAUUCUCAGGUGGCUCAAAGGAAAACAUCAAGCUAAAAGACAAGAAAUGAGGCGGGUAAAUUUUUGACACUAACAUGACAAAAAAUUAAUAGCAUUAACACGGCAGGAACUUAUCUGAAGCAGCAACACCAAGGGCAAUGUGAGUGAACUGCAGACAAGGCAACCCGGACGCCAUGGGACACGCCACAGAGCAGGCUGCCUUGUCCCCACUCUGCCUACAUGUGAGACCCACCAGACUCACAGUGAACACAUCCCAGCCCCUCCGGCCGGGCACCACGGAAGGCCCUCCCUCCUCCACUGAGGGCAGGGAUCACAGGGCCAGGUUUUUGUCAUCGGACAAGGGGUGUCCCAAGUCAUGAGAUGCUUAACCCAUGAAUGCCCCCUCUUGGAGUCUAUGCUAAUUAAACACGUAGAGGGGCGGACUUCACUCUGCCAGCUCAGAUAAUGACCACAGCAUAUUUAUAACCACAAAGAGGUGGAAACAGCUACACUAUCCAACAGUGGGGAAAUGUUUAAGUCAAUGCUGGGAGAGUAACACCAUGGACCAGCCCCGAAGAGACAUCUGUGGUGAGUGAAAUGCACGCCAUACAAGCCCAGAGAGACUGUGAACUUGGAAGAAAGAAUAGGUGCACACAAUAAGACUGGGAGGAAAUGAACAAACUAUCAUCGGCCAUGAGGUUCUCCUUUACUUACAAUAAGUAUAUGCAGCACAGACAUGAGAAAGGCAUUCCUGGAGUGUGAAGCCCAGGGCAAGAGGAUGCGGGUGUCCUGAGCAAGCAAUAAUGCCAGCACCUUCUGCAAGGAGCUCUGCUGGGCCACCUCUUGGGCAACAAACCAUCCUGGGACAUCUUGCAGACAAGGAAACAGGCUUCAGGAGGCAAUGGUGCCUCUUGAAGGGCAGGGCACACAGCCACAGGGCCACCUUCUGCAUGGCUCCCACCGCAGCUGAGUCUCCAAGGAAGCUGGGUUUUUACAGGGGCAGGUCCUCAAGGUGGAUACCCCUUUGCUAAAGGCUCUGCCCCAGCAACCCACAAGCAGCCACUUGCCCUGGGCUCCAGGCGGCUGCCCUCCCCUUGCUGUCCUCUGGACUGUUUAGUAUGCAGAAGGACCAGCCCUGCAAGGCCACCAUAAAUCCUGCCCCUGUCCUACAGCAGAUCAAUUGCCAAUCGGCUCCAAAUCCCCUAGAUGUCUCAGCAGCUUGGCCCAGCUGUAGGAGCCACGGCCAUGGUUGGCUCUAGAUGCUGCUGGCUAUAUAUAUUGAACUUGAAGCAUCGGAUUACAUGUUUGUUCAAUAGCAAUAAACUCCCAAAGUUUUAUGGGGUCAU